UACGUAGGGGGCAAGCGUUGUCCGGAUUUAUUGGGCGUAAAGCGCUCGCAGGCGGCUUGAUACGUCGUGCGUGAAACACCCCGGCUCAACUGGGGAGGGUCGUGCGAUACGGUCAGGCUUGAGGCCAGUAGGGGGAUGCGGAAUUCCAGGUGUAGCGGUGAAAUGCGUAGAUAUCGUGAGGAAGACCAGUGGCGAAGGCGGAUCGCUGGAGAGUGCCUGACGCUGAGGCACGAAGGCCAGGGGAGCAAACGGG
rnacentral:rRNA from 1 species